UGGGGAAUCUUGCGCAAUGGGGGAAACCCUGACGCAGCGACGCCGCGUGCGGGAUGAAGGCCUUCGGGUUGUAAACCGCUUUCAGCAGGGACGAGGCCUUAUGGUGACGGUACCUGCAGAAGAAGCCCCGGCUAACUACGUGCCAGCAGCCGCGGUAAUACGUAGGGGGCUAGCGUUAUCCGGAUUUACUGGGCGUAAAGGGUGCGUAGGUGGUCUUUCAAGUCGGUGGUUAAAGGCUACGGCUCAACCGUAGUUAGCCUCCGAAACUGGAAGACUUGAGUGCAGGAGAGGAAAGUGGAAUUCCCAGUGUAGCGGUGAAAUGCGUAGAUAUUGGGAGGAACACCAGUAGCGAAGGCGGCUUUCUGGACUGCAACUGACACUGAGGCACGAAAGCGUGGGUAGCAAACAGG
rnacentral:rRNA from 1 species